UGCGUAGGUGGCGUGGUAAGUCGGGUGUGAAAUUUCGGAGCUUAACUCCGAAACUGCAUUCGAUACUGCCGUGCUUGAGGACUGGAGAGGAGACUGGAAUUUACGGUGUAGCAGUGAAAUGCGUAGAGAUCGUAAGGAAGACCAGUGGCGAAGGCGGGUCUCUGGACAGUUCCUGACACUGAGGCACGAAGGCUAGGGGAGCAAACG
rnacentral:rRNA from 1 species